CUCCCUCGCUGCCUCUCCUUCUCUUCCUCCUCUCUCUCCUGUGCCGCCGUCCUGCUCCAUCCACCCAUGCUCCACUCCGACGGCGACGAUGACCUGUAGGCGAAGGGCGACGACGCAGAGGAGAGAGAGGUGCGGCAGCAUACGGGAGAGGGUCACCAGCUAGCGUCGGCCUGUGCUGGUGAGGUCGGGCUCCACCGUUCCUGUCCCUCGUCCUCACGCGGCCUCUCUUGGUCACCGGCGCUGCAAUUGCGCGGGGCGUGAGGAUAGCAAGGAGAUGUUGGCCCUCGUCCAGGAACGCGGCGUCCAUGGCCGCUCCUCUCCUCCCGAUUUGCCUCCUCUUCUUUGUGCGCGCCGGCCGCUGCAGCUCCUCGCGCCGCCUCCGUCCAUCCCACCUCUCUUGUUUUCCUCCUCUCUCAGAUGGGGCGCCUUCGCUCGCCGUGGUUCCAGAUCGGGCGGAUUGGAGGAGCAGGGGAGGGCGAGGCCUGGAGCUCCAUCGGCACCGCGUGCUAGACUGGUGCCAGGCUGCAUCUUCUCCUACCUCCGUUCUGGUGCCUCCUCCUACCCGCGUAAACAGCGAGCGGAGGGCGUAAUCACGUAAGUGCCAGAGUUUGGAGGUGGAUGUUACUUCAGGAAGGAAGUUGGUUACAAUUUUCAUUUGUUUGAUGCAGCAGAGACAAACUAAUUUGCAGAAUUUCUUGGUGUUGCGAUCUCUCCCCAUCUUAGCAUUGUCUUUCGUUGGAAGGGGAGGAAAUUUGUGUAUAUCACACCUAUCAGCUGCAUCCCACAAAGAGGAAUUUUGUGUCAGACAUUGCCAUUGGAGAAGCUUUGACAGGAAAUGGAUUGUAAUUUGCAAGUGAGGUGGGGCUUUUGAUUGGGCCUUGUGGUGGUUGGAUCUGCUAACAGAUAGGGAGAAGCAUGAUAGAUCGGGCAGAGAUCGCAGGUCGCGGCCAUGGGAGAGCAGGGGAGGCGUGGUUUACGUGAUGGAUAUGUAGUAGGGGAGGGUGAGGAGGACGGGCAUGUGGGAAGGCACAGCAAUGCCGGAGCUAAAGCGGGCGCUUGUGUCACGGUGGUGCUUGCUGGUCAUCGUCCAUAAUCUCCAAGUGCAGAUUGGACGAUGAAGAGACGAGGAAGGAUGUUAGGAAGAGUGAAGAACAAGGCGGACCUUCUCUGGUGGAAGAACAAGAUGAACCCUCUUUUGUGGGUCCUGUUUUUGGCAAAAUAUGUGGGGACUCGAAUGACAAUGAGCAGGUGCCAUUAAUUCCUACAGUGGCCUUUUUCUUCUUCUCACAAGCCAGAUAAUGUUCAGUUGGAAGAGAUGGAUAUGAGGUGCGUGCAAGUACAAGUGUGCAAUGACAGGUACCCUAUCUUGCACCUGUUUUGCUCAUAAAAAAGCGCACAUGUUGUUCUUGAUUUGGUUUUCUUUUCCAUGUGCAGUUUUAAUUUUUUGUUCGCUCAAAGUGACAUUAAAAUGAAGAUCCUAUAACUGAAGUUGGAUCUUCACUCCUACACAACACAUACUUUUUAGCUGAAUAAAUGGCUACAACUUCACCACAUAUGACCGUAAUUAAAUCUCAUGUUUCAUGCUCUGACUUAUGUACUACCAAUUUUUAUGUUAAACAUGAUUAAAUUCUUUCUGAUUGUAUUUAAUAUAUCGGUGUAUACUAUCUUCAGCUAUCAUACAACUGCAUGUAGGUAAAAUAUUCAUGUUCAUUGGUUGAAUAUCAAUUAAUGUUUUUUCUCUAGAAUAGGUGGCGGAAUGGCAAGGCGUCUGAUCAGAUGACCUGUGUCUGUGGUCAGUUGGUGGAUCUCGACUACAGGAACAUCACCGAUGCAAUCCAUAGUAGAUUGUUGUUCCAAUGGGAUGUAGAUAGUAGGAUCGAGACUACAAUGUCACAUGGUGGAAGCAAGAGAAAGUGAUGCGUGCUAGCCGUGAACUUAAUGGGUCGCUUGUUCCUUGCAGAUGAAUCCAUUCUGAUGAGCUUUGUAAAUAUUAGAUAAAAUUUGAUGCUGUCCCCUUAAGAUUAAACGGAUGCGUCACACUAUCAGACGAAAUGCGUGUUACAUCAAACAAAAUCCAUGAUCGAGCUACCUUGGACCCUAUUGCUUCAAGCACUAUCUAAGAAAGGCAUAUGAUCCAGACUCAGAUUCAAGCUGCAUUGAGGGUUAUGCUUGAGACAUGGAUGAUGGCUACAACCACUAUGUGCGACCGUAGGCUGCGGCGGAGACAGGCCCCAGGCAGCCCGAGCGGAUGCCUGGGGCAUGAGGCUGAUUCCCUUCGUAUACUGUAGAGAACACUGUAGCUACAGUGUUGCAGUGCUUCCUAGGUCGGCCGGGGGCGUGGCUGAAUCCUGGCGCCGCCACUGACCAUAGGCAUGCCUGCUUAGACGAUGAAAUUAUGUUCAAUACUGCUGGGAUAUGUAACGAUGACUCAACUUAAUACCACCACCUUCUCGCGUCUUGGUCCUUGCUGCGAGCAAGACAAUGCAUCUCUGGCCUUUGCUAAUAUAGCUUACUUUUAUAAAGCCAAUGUAUGCCAUUAUCAAGUGAUAUGAAUAUCUUCUUUUAAGCUACCAAGUGCCAUGUAAUGGAACAUAAACAUCUAUUAAGUUAGUUCUAAAUCAAUCUCAUAUGCAUUGUUUGAA